UCCCUAGUGGUCCAGCAGCUAAGACUCUGCACUCCCAAAGCAGGGGGCUCAGGUUUGAUCCCUGGCCAGGGAA
rfam:TPA: Bos taurus chromosome X, whole genome shotgun sequence.